GACGAACGCUGGCGGCGUGCUUAACACAUGCAAGUCGAGCGGUAAGGCCUUUCGGGGUCCACGAGCGGCGAACGGGUGGGUAACACGGGGGUGAUCUGCCCUGCACUUCGGGAUAAGCCUGGGAAACUGGGUCUAAUACCGGGUAUGAACUCCUAUCGCCUUGUGGGUGGUGGCAAGAUUUAUCGGUGCCGGAUGGGCCCGCGGCCUAUCAGCUUGGUGGUGGGGUAAUGGCCGGCCAAGGCGACGACUGGUAGCCGACCGGAGAGGGUGACCGGCCACCCUGGGCCUGAGACACGGCCCAGACUCCUACGGGAGGCAGCAGUGGGGAGUAUUGCACAAUGGGCGCAAGCCUGAUGCAGCGACGCCGCGGGAGUGAUGCCGGCCUUUGGGUUGUAAACCUCUUUCAGCAGGGACGAAGCGCAAGUGACGGUACCUGCAGAAGAAGCACCGGCUAACUACGUG
rnacentral:rRNA from 1 species